rnacentral:rRNA from 1 species
UACGUAGGGGGCGAGCGUUGUCCGGAAUCAUUGGGCGUAAAGCGCGCGCAGGCGGCUAAUUAAGUCUGGUGUUUAAGGCUGGGGCUCAACCCCGGUUCGCACUGGAAACUGGUUGGCUUGAGUGCAGAAGAGGAAAGUGGAAUUCCACGUGUAGCGGUGAAAUGCGUAGAGAUGUGGAGGAACACCAGUGGCGAAGGCGGCCUGCUGGGCAGUUGCUGACACUGAGGCGCGAAAGCUAGGGGAGCAAACAGG